GGCCGGCUAGCUCAGUCGGUAGAGCAUGAGACUAUUAAUUUCAGGGUUGUGGGUUCAUGCCCCAUAUUGGGCA